UGCCCAGCAACUCCUAUCCCUACCUCCACGCGGUACCGGCCGGAAACUAUGAGCAACUUUAGGGAAGAUCGGGUAACCAAUCCCGGUGGGAACUUUGGUCGUAGGCUGACAGGGAAGG
rnacentral:ribozyme from 1 species